rnacentral:rRNA from 1 species
CCCUUAGAUGUUCUUGGCCGCACGCGUGCUACACUGAGUGGAUCAGCGGGUCAGGUUGCGCGAAAGUGUUUCCUAAUCUUUAAAUCCGCUCGUGAUGGGGAUUGACGGUUGCAAUUUUCCGUCAUGAACGAGGAAUACCUUGUAAGCGCGGGUCAUCAUCCCGCGCUGAAUACGUCCCUGCCCUUUGUACACACCGCCCGUCGCUCCUACCGAUUGAGUGGUCCGGUGAGGCUUUGGGAUCUGGGCGGAAAGAGCGUUUCGCUGUUUCUGCCCGGAAAACUCAGUCGAACCUUAUCAUUUAGAGGAAGGAGAAGUCGUAACA